GACGAACGCUGGCGGCGUGCUUAACACAUGCAAGUUGAACGGGUCAUAUAUGAAGGGUAACCGGAGUGUAUGGCUAGUGGCGAACGGGUGAGUAAUGCAUGAGAACGUAUCCUCAAGAGGGGGACAACAUUGGGAAACCGAUGCUAAUACCCCAUAAGCCGGGAGGUAAAAGGAGCAAUCCGCUUGAGGAGCGGCUCAUGUCCUAUCAGCUGGUUGGUGGGGUAACGGCUCACCAAGGCGAAGACGGGUAGCCGGCCUGAGAGGGUGAACGGCCACACUGGAACUGAGAGACGGUCCAGACUCCUACGGGAGGCAGCAGUGGGGAAUAUUGGGCAAUGGGGGAAACCCUGACCCAGCGACGCCGCGUGAGGGAAGAAGGCCUUAGGGUCGUAAACCUCUGUUGUGUGGGAAGAAGAGCGUGACGGUACCACACGAGGAAGUCCCGGCCAACUACGUGCCAGCCGCCGCGGUAA
rnacentral:rRNA from 1 species